CCGACCUUGGACUGAAUUAGACUGAGAUUGGAAGCCGAAUUAAAGAAACAAAAUGCAGACUAGAACAAAAGAAUAUGGGGCCAAGGGCCUCGAUUAUGACGUAUCAUCUGAAAGAUGGCACCUGCCUCAGAAGCGAGAGUGUUUAACCUUAACCCCAACCGGAGAAAGAAGCCAUUAUCUAGUGACGAAGCAUGAAAUCCAUAACCCUGAAAUAUAAUUUUACCAGCAAUUUCAGGAAGAAGGAAAGUUAAAAUAACUAACAUUACGGUUCAAAGCAUUUGGAAAGCAACAGGAGAAGAAUAACGAAGUAUAACAACUGCAAAGUAAAGUAUAUAGCUCAGCUGUCCAUCAAGAAUUCAAAUUUGAUUUCGUACUCAACGAACCCAAGCAAGAAAUUUCUGGUCUGAAGCAAGAGUCUGAGCAAGACUUUUGCCUACUGUUUGUGAAUUUACCAACUGACUCUACCAAAG